rnacentral:lncRNA from 1 species
CCACGCCUGGUUAAUUUUUGUAUUUUUAGUAGAGACGGGGUUUCACCAUGUCGAACUCCUGACUUCGUGAUCUGCCCACCUCGGCCUUCUGAAGUGCUGGGAUUACAGGCAUGACCCACCACACCCAGCCACCACCAAAAUUCUUGAAGUAGGUACUAGGAAUGUUACAUGUGAAUUUCCAUGGAAACCUACAUGGAACACAUAACUGAGCUACUCCAGCAGCGACUGGCCCAUCACACAGACACACCAUCAGGUUGUGAUUCCUCAAGAAUCUUGCCAAUUGCCUGCACCAGUCUGAGCCCACCAGCUCUCUCAUCAAGCUCCCGCUUUACAUACAGCCUGUAUGUGAACCUUUAUCACUGAUGGAGAAAUUGAAGCACAGAUCAGUCGGUUUCUAGUUGUCUUAUGUGGCUAUUCAUCACUUCCUACGCCAGAACAAACUUUUAAAGAUGACUUAUUCCACAUUUUGUCUCUCCAACAGCAAGACUUAUGUACAUAUGUAUUACUCCAGGUCUCUGCCUGCUGGAGGCACUGCUUUCUGUCCCUGUGGCUGUAACACAUAGCACAGCACCCAAUAGGUAUACAAUAAAUGUUUUUAAAGACAGAGGCUUUAUUAUUUGGUUCAUAAAUAUUCACUUUUCUUUUUUUAAAAGCUAACACUAGUACUAAAUCAUUUGCUGUUUAAACCUAAG